UGGCACUCGCCCCAAAGAGGGCUGUCCGGGCGCACUACGUCAUCCGGACGCCUCCCCAGACAUUCUUUCGGGGUUCAAACCGGAGAGCCAAGCGCUCAGGAGCAGAGAGGGAAAAACACCUGGAUUGACAUCCUCGCUGAGCCGCUUAUGAGCUGUGGGACUUCGGGCAGGUGGCGACGAUUCUGUGCCUCACCUACCAGGUCUCUGAAAUGUGGACAGUAACACAGUAAAGCUAAUACGUCAGGACGAUGUCACAGCUCAUUAGUAACGUGUUAGUCAGAAUAAUCCUAGAGUGCUUUCAUAAACGCCUCCGAGUGCCAACCUUCAACUGUUUUUGGCAAUAGAAAUGCAAAAUCCUCAUGGUGCUUCCGUUCUCCUAUUUAUAAACAGGUACAUACUUAGCAUAAGGUCAGACAACUUAAUGUUACUUGGCAACAUUAAGGAAAAUACAACAGUAAAGGAAUAGAGGGUGGGGACAGAAGGAACUGUUGUUUUUGGUAAGAUAUCAGAGAAGGUAUAAAAUGGUGGAACGAGGGAAUGAAUCAUGCUCAUAUCUAAAGGGGCAGAGGUUGCAGGGAGAGCAAUUGAAGUUUUGAACAGAGAAGUGACAUGGUCUGACUUUAGUUUUAAAAGAAUCAUUCCGGCUGCUGUGUAGAAGAUAAGAGAAUAGACACGGAAGCAGAAAAGCCAGUUAGGAGAGGUGGCUGCAGGAGUCCAGGUCACAAGGAUGAUGCUCGCUGGCACUAAAGUGAUGUCCUAGAGGGGAGGAGAGAAGAACUGAUCACAGUCAAGAUGUGUUGAAAGCCAGAGUCCACAGAUUUGCUGCUGGAUUGGGAAUGUGAGGAAAGAAGGAAAAGAAUUAGGAUUUCUGCAAGGAUGGUGUCUACCACAUUAAAAGAACGCAACACGUGUUAGUGAGUUAAGUGAAUAAAAGCCCCGCUUCUGAGUUCAAAGCCCAUCCUGUGUGCUACUUAGCCAGGACAGCCCGUAGACUGGACAAAUGGCAAAUGGAAUGCACUUCAUGUAUUAUUUUAUGAGGACACUCCAUGUGUCAUCCCCAUUACCUCCAGAUGGCCACGGCAGAUGUCAUCCAGCGGCUCUCCACAAAUGGACAAGACAGUGAAGUUUGUUGGAACACUGGAGUAUGUGUGAGAGCAGAGGAGAUACACGCAAUAUGUCUGCUAUUGCUUGCCACCCUAUUUGCAUAUGGUAUUCAAGAUGCCGCCAUAAGCAUAAAAUUCCAUUGGAUCCAUGGUGUGUGAGAGUUCAGUGAGGCUCAAAGCUUGGAUAAGGUAAGUAGGUUACACCCAGGACUGAGUAAACUAGGACAUUGACAGCCCCUAGAGGCCACACUUUCCGUUUG